rnacentral:rRNA from 1 species
UACAGAGAGUGCGAGCGUUAAUCGGAAUUACUGGGCGUAAAGCGCGCGUAGGUGGAACUCUAAGUCGAUUGUGAAAUCCCCGAGCUUAACUUGGGAAUUGCAUUCGAUACUGAAGUUCUCGAGUAUGGUAGAGGGAAGUGGAAUUUCCGGUGUAGCGGUGAAAUGCGUAGAUAUCGGAAAGAACACCAGUGGCGAAAGCGGCUUCCUGGACCAAUACUGACACUUAGGCGCGAAAGCGUGGGGAGCAAACAGGAUUAG